rnacentral:rRNA from 1 species
CCUAGUUGAUCUUGCCAGUAGUCAUAUGCUUGUCCUAAAGAUUAAGCCAUACAUGUGUAAGUAUGAACUAAUUCAAACUAUGAAACUAUGAAUGGCUCAUUAACUCAGUUAUAGUUUGUUUGAUGGUAUCUACUACUCAGAUAACCAUAGUAAUUCUAAAACUAAUACAUAAAACAAAUCCUAACUUCUGGAAGGGAUGUAUUAUUAGAUAAAAGGUUAAUGUAGGCUUUGCUUGUUGCUCUGAUGAUUCAUGAUAACUUGACGGAUCACAUGGCUUUUGUGUUGGUAGUGCACUAUUCAAAUUUUUGCCCUAUCAAUUUUUGAUGCUAGGAUAGUGGCCUACUUUAAUGGUGAUGGGUGAUGGAGAAUUAGGGUUUUUUUCUAGAUAGGGAGCUUGAGAAACGACUACCACAUCAAAGAAAGGUAGUAGGUGUGCAAAUUACCCAAUCUUGACACAGGGAGGUAGUGAUAAUAAAUAACAACACUAGGCUCUAUAAGUCUGGUAAUUGGAAUGAGUAUAAUCUAAAUCCCUUAAAGAGGAUCCAUUGGAAGGCAAUUCUAGUGCCAGCAGUUGUGGUAAUUCCAGCUCCAAUAGCAUGUAUUUAAGUUGUUGUAGUUAAAAAAAACUCUUAGUUAGAACUAGGGUUAGGUCAUCAGGUCUACCUCAUAAUGAGCAUUAGUCUACUCAUCCCUACUGCUGGUGAUGUGCAUUGGCCUUAAUUGGUUGGGUCAUUCCUUUAGUGUCAUUACUUUAAAGAAAUUAAUGUGCUCAAAGUAGGUCUAUGCUUGUAUACAUUAGCAUGGGAUAACAUCAUAAGAUUUUGGUCCUAUUAUGGUACUUUCAAAGAAUGAGUAACAAAGACAAUCAAAGGCAUUCAUAUUUCAUAGUCAAGGGUAAAUUUCUUGGAUUUAUGAAAGAUGAACAAUUGUGAAAGCAUUUGCCAAUGAUAUUUUCUUUAAUCAUGAAUGAAAGUUAGGGGCAUAAAGAUGAUUAGAUAAGAUCCUACUCUCAACCAUAAACAAUGCUAACUAAGGAUUGGUAGUGUUACUUUUAGGACUCUAUUGACACCUUAUAAGAAAUCAAAGUCUUUGGGUUGUUCCAGAGAGAGUAUGGUUACAAGGCAAAAACUUAAAGGAAUUGACAAAAAGGCACCACCAGGAGUGGAACCUAUGGCUUAAUUUGACUCAACAUGGGGAAACUUACCAAGUCCAUAUAUAGUAAGGAUUGAGAGACUGGGAGCUCUUUCUUGAUUCUAUAGGUGGUGGUGCAUGGCCAUUUUUUGUUGGUGAAGCAAUUUGUCUAGUUAAUUCCAUUAACGAACAAGACCUCAACCUACUAACUUGCUAGUGUAGGUGAUCCUUCAUGGCUAGCUUCUUAGAGAGAAUAUGGCUAUUUAGGAGAAGGAAGUUUAAGGUAAUAAUAGGUCUGUGAUGCCCUUAGAUGUUUUAGGUUGCAUGUGCGUUAUAUUUUUGUAUUCAAUGAGUUUAUAACCUUGGUUGAUAGGCUUAAGUAAUAUUUGAAAUUUCAUCAUAAUGGGUAUAGAUCAUUGCAAUUGUUAGUCUUCAAUGAGGAAUUCCUAGUAAGCAUGAGUCAUCAGCUUGUGUUGACUAUGUCCCUACCUUGUGUACACCCCACCCAUUGCUCCUACCGAUUGAAUAGGCCAAUAAAGUGUUCGGAUCGUAACGACAUAGAUAGUUUGCUACCCUCGACAUCAUGAGAAGUCGACUAAACCUUAUCAUUUAAUGGAAGGAGUAGUUAUAACAAGGUUUCUAUAGGUGAACUUGUAGAAG